GACGAACGCUGGCGGCGUGCUUAACACAUGCAAGUCGAACGAAGUGGCGCACGGGUGAGUAACGCGUAAUCAACCCCCCCUUCAGAGGGGGACAACAGUCGGAAACGACUGCUAAUACCCCAUACUGAAGGGGGGGACUGCGUCUGAGUCGCUUGUUGGAGGGGUGACGGCCCCACAAGGCGAUGAUCAGUAGACGGUCGUGGAGGAUGAACGGCCACAUGGGGACUGAGACACGGCCCAGACUCCUACGGGAGGCAGCAGUGGGGAAUCUUCCGCAAUGGACGAAAGUCUGACGGAGCAACGCCGCGUGAGGGAUGACGGCCUUCGGGUUGUAAAGCUCUGUUAAGCGGGACGCGGUACCGGAAUAGAAAGCCACGGCUAACUACGUGCCAGCAGCCGCGGUAAUUC
rnacentral:rRNA from 1 species